CCCUGUGCCGUUAGCCAGGGCAGCCAGUUUGUUGUCUGCGUGAGGGGCCAGACRCCAGAGAAGAUGGGAAAUUCUCCGGUGGAGAAGCAAGCAGCGCCCGCCCAGCGCGGAGCAGGGAGCCCGGCUCGCCUGGACACUCACCGCUGGGAGCAAGCGCCUUCCUCCCUGCGCCUGGCCAGCCGCGCAGGUAAGGUCCCUUCGCUGGGGGUGGCCGUCUCCGCUCUCGCUGCGCUUCCUGGUGGCGGCAGGUCCCCCGCA
rnacentral:lncRNA from 1 species